ensembl:lncRNA
GCCUGGGCGAGGUCCCCGAAGCAGGGUGCAGGGGGGCUGGACUGCGGCAGGGGACUCUGCCACCGGCUGAUCUCUGGGGAAAGCUCUGCGGUCCCCUCUCCUCCCUGUGCAGAGCCGCCUCGUCUCACUUUUCCUCCCAUCUCACUGGGCCUCGGCCACUCCCUCAAACCCUCAUGUCUGGGGACACCUGGGUCAAGGUCAGAAGGCCUCUAAUUCUAACCAGAGUCCACAAGUCCCUCCAGGGAGCCACAAGCAACUUUGGUUCAGUCACUCAUUCGUUCAACAAACAUCUCUAGGACACGGCUCUGGGCCAAGCCCUGUCCUGGGCACCCUCCAUCUAGGACAGAGCUCAACCGCCACACACCUAAGUCACAACCACGUGGGAACCAGCACGAAGGGGACACAAGCCCGGAUCAGGCUGAGCCUGCCAUGGAAACCAAGGCUACAGCAUUCAUAAAGUCUUGGUAAGAAGCUUCCAGGCCGGCAGGAGGGACUGGGAUACCGGUCCAGGCUAAGGAGCCCAGGCAGGAGAGGGGCCCAGGGGAAUCAGAAGGCCUCCCUCUCCCCACCCUCUGACAAAACUACCUUCUCUUUCCAGGGUCAACCAUCAGGGGAAUACAACCAUUUAUUUUUCUGUUAAAACAUUUAAUAAUUGGCUAAAUUUGUUCUAGUAUUGCAACUAGUGUCAAUGUCUACUGUUUUCAUUGCACAUGCACAGAUUUUGCAGCCACACUCUGAGUUAAGCAGCUUUCUGGCUGUUCCUGGAAGCCCGGUAUCAUUGUCAACACAGUUUCUGAGUGGAAAGACUUUCCCCAGAAGACUUGGGAGUAGAGAGACUUCCUGCGUUCAUUGAAGAGCCCAUUCUCUACAAAACGCCGGCAACACGGAGCCGAGCCGAGGCUGUGGGCUUUUUAGGACCCAAAACCUGCAGAGAAUGUGCUGAUGGGCCAUAACCACGGUCUGCCCUUUGUCCGGAGAGAAAAAGGAAGGGAGAAAAAUCAGCUGAGUCUAGCGCUUCGGAUGCUGUGCUGGGAUAUUUCACAGGUCACAGCAGAUGAGCAGCAGCCUGAGGGCCUGAAGAGUCCACUCCCCCAGAUGCCUCCUCCCCAGGGAACGGCCCCACCCCUGCGGAGGCCAGAAGAAGGGGCUCAGGCCAAGGCUAUGUGCCUCUUGAAUGAAGGGAUGGAUGGAUGGACGAAUGGAAAACGGGGAGAGGAGUCCUGUAGGAAGCCCUCUCGCUAACACAGAGGUAAAAGGGCCCUGGGAAAAUUCUAAGCAAAUUAAUGACAGAGAAAUAUGACUUGGGUUACAAACUUGGGGAAAGUGAAUGUUGGGGUCUGAAAACAGAACUUGGCCCUGUGUAAGAAAGAAUUGGCUAACAUGUUGACUUAUGAAAUAGGAGAGUUGGCCUCAGAAUGGGGUUCCUGCUUCAGUUCAAUUCCUUAGGUGUUUAAAGGGUGCCCCCCGGAGACAGGGCCUCCCGCUUGGUGCAUAGGAAAAUCGCGGACUCUGCCCAGAUCCCUGUGUCACAGGUUCCCAGGGACGUGGUGCGGAAGCAGAG